rnacentral:rRNA from 1 species
CCUACGGGCGGCAGCAGUGAGGAAUAUUGGUCAAUGGACGAGAGUCUGAACCAGCCAAGUAGCGUGAAGGAUGACUGCCCUAUGGGUUGUAAACUUCUUUUAUAUGGGAAUAAAAUGUUCCACGUGUGGGAUUUUGUAUGUACCAUAUGAAUAAUGAUCGGCUAACUCCGUGCCAGCAGCCGCGGUAAUACGGAGGAUCCGAGCGUUAUCCGGAUUUAUUGGGUUUAAAGGGAGCGUAGGUGGAGUGGUAAGACAGUUGUGAAAGUUUGCGGCUCAACCGUAAAAUUGCAGUUGAAAAUGGCAGUCUUGAGUACAGUAGAGGUGGGCGGAAUUCGUGGUGUAGCGGUGAAAUGCUUAGAUAUCACGAAGAACUCCGAUUGCGAAGGCAGUUCACUGGACUGCAACUGACACUGAGGCUCGAAAGUGUGGGUAUCAAACAGGAUUAGAUACCCGAGUAGUC